rnacentral:misc_RNA from 1 species
AAAUCUCACAAACCUCGUUUUCUUCGGAGAUCGGGAGGCGUGGAUUUGGGAGCUUUUGCGGCUUUGCCUGCGAUGCACCUGUAAAUGAUUGUGACGUGCGCCAAUUGUCGUGUCAACUGGUCGUCCGAAGCGCAACAGAUUCAUCUAUUCGUUUUGGUCGUCUGCUGGCUGAUUUGGAGGCACGGUACUCAACUUAUCAACCGGGGUCCUGCGAUUUUGCAGGACUUGCUGAUA